rnacentral:lncRNA from 13 species
AUGGACCGGCAGGUUCCGACAGGACAGGACAAGGUUGCAGCAAACAUGACGAUAGUCUGGUUCAGGCAUGAACAACACAAACAAGAAUCCGACAAGGACAGGAACAAAAACAGAGAGAGAUAUAGAGGACUAAUCAGAGGGAAAAAGGGAACAGGUGGGAAAAGGGGUGACGAGGUAGUUAGGAGGAGACAAGGAACAGCUGGGGGAAGGAGGGGGAGAAAAGGUAACCUAAAACGACCAGCAGGGGGAGACAGGGUGAAGAGAAAGGACAGAAACAAGACAAGGUUGCAGCAAACAUGACGAUAGUCUGGUUCAGGCAUGAACAACACAAACAAGAAUCCGACAAGGACAGGAACAAAAACAGAGAGAGAUAUAGAGGACUAAUCAGAGGGAAAAAGGGAACAGGUGGGAAAAGGGGUGACGAGGUAGUUAGGAGGAGACAAGGAACAGCUGGGGGAAGGAGGGGGAGAAAAGGUAACCUAAAACGACCAGCAGGGGGAGACAGGGUGAAGAGAAAGGACAGAAACAAGACACAACAUGACAAUACAUGACAUAUAAACCUAAUACGUGCAAAGGUGAUAUACUUCAGCAUCUGACAGCGCCCAUGCACUGAAGUCUUUCAGCAAUAACAACACAAUACAUCCUGUCAUAUAUACACAUAUUCAUAUACAUAGCUCAUAUAUCAAGCACAUAUAUUAAGCCGCCUGACUCAAGUCAUUGCACGCACCCCUGUCCAAUCAGGAAGCACCCUACCCCCAGCCAUAAACUGCCAGUUUCAGUUCCCCUUAUCUCAUGCUUCCUUGACACACAAACAUUUCAUGAGCACUGCACACUCACACUCCACCCCCCUCUACUGGUCGGGUGCUGUGCACCAUUGGGGCUCCUGCUCUGGCUGGAGCAGGCCCGCCUCCAACUCUUCGGGACCAGUCAGAAGACCACCACGACAAGACUCCACCUACAUUUUCCCAUGUAUAUAAUCUGCUACAACCUUUGUCUAGGUCCCUUUUUCAGCUAACUCCUUUUGAGCUAUAUGAAUCAGGUCUGUGCACGUUAAACUGCAGGACAAGAUAUCUUUUGACUCAAUAAACUGUCUUUUUGUUACAACUGAAAUCCACUCUGUCCAGCGUCCAUGAUUUGGUCUCACUUUCCUGUAAUUCAAUCAUCAACAAUCCAAAAUGCGACAACAAGAAGUGCAUGUAGUCCAUAUGCAUAAUCAGAUAACUGUGCAUUGGUAAUAAUGUUUUGGAUGAAAUGGCUAUCACAACGUCCAAAAUGAAAUUAAUAAUAUCCAAAGCGCAGCCACAACUAGAAGUGCAAUGCAUUUAGCCUACGCCUAGGUAGGUAGGUUUUUACACGCCGCAUGCAGGGAAAACUGCGUUCACAUGACGCGAAGGUUACUGGCAGUGUGACAGAUACAUGUGACAACAAAAUCCCCCGCUGGCUUCACGUUUCUGACACAGUCCACCAAAACAAGAUUGAGACGGUGUGGUGGCAAUGAAUGUAGAUUGCCUGAGGGACCUCUUCUCUGAAUUUCUCCUGGUCCCCGUUGUGAACGCCGGACAUGACAGCACAGUGUGAUCAAUGUUACAUUUAAAAGAGUCUCUUUGUUCGUAGCGAAAAGCGACUCGGGAGAUAAUCCAUCAGCUGGAGUGAAAUGAAGAAAUUCCUGAGGUCCUUACUCUCAUCAAUGCAAAUAGCUUAGCAUCUUGUAUUUCACCACUUAUCUGAUCCCUAAUCGUAUUUGCCAUAAUGUCUAGUAUUUCAUUCUGUAUAUCAUGAUGCGUGUACUUAGCAUUUCUAGGAUUAUCUGAUAUUGUCUGUGCAACUGUUUUGUCGAAUUUGCCUAUGACCUGGAAAAGUUCAAGGAAGUUUCCCUGGUUGACAGCCAUGUCGUUUUCUAUGUCUCCUCUCUGUGAAAGUAUGCAGUGUAACGCAAUGACUCCACGACUGCUCUCAUAUACUCUCUGUUGUCUCGGAAUAUUUUCGAAUGUUCAUCACUUUGUUUCAUGUGAACUGUUUGCUCUUUGAUUGUUUCAUUUGUAUCAAUUCCCCAUUAAGUCACCAGUAGUAAAUGGAUUUUAACCAUUAAUUUGUUUUUUUACAAGUUGUAAAUGUUUCAUUCUAUUUUGUUUGGAGUGUGUGCAAUGAGCAUGG